rnacentral:lncRNA from 1 species
AACGAAGCUGUGAAUCCCCCCACCCUGCCUGAAGACAGGAAGACUCGCGCCAAGGGCUUCCAUUUUUGAUAUUUCAAUGUUUAUUGUAUCGCUCGGAGGUAAAUCCCUCGAAUUAAAUCCUUCUCAAAUUCCCCCCUUAAAUGCUUGCAUCAAGUAUAACCCUUGCGAAUGUCUACUUUUGAUUCUCACGUUCUUGAAUUACAGACCUAAUUACUGGAUUUGAUUCUCACGAUCUUGAACUUUCGAAUAUUUAUCCAGAGUUGGUUUGUUAGAACACAUUGUAAAUUGAAUAAUUAUACGUGUUUCCAUGUCAUUUGUGCUAAAGUGAAAUAAUGUUAGUAAUAUAGGUAAUUUUUUUUGUGAAUUACGCAUUGCAUUAUCACAGUAAAAUGGUGUGGUUUGAUUAUAUUUUGAAAUUCUGAAUGGAAUGUCUUGCUAAUGAGAAAUUGUUUGCGGAAAAAGUUUACUUUAUCAGUGUUAUUUUUUAGUGCAAUAGCUUACAAUUUCCUACUUACGUUUCUGAAGAAUAAUUUGAUUUUUUUUGAAGUUUUAGGCAAUUUAUAUUCUAAGUGCUCAUAUUUCAGCGUGUUUUGUAGGGAAUUACAUUUGUGAGCUAUUUGAAGCAUUUAGUUCAGUCUUAAGGUGAUUUUGGAGGUGUUGACCGGUAGAUAAUGUAUCAUCAAAGCUCCUCACUCCUAGGGCUAUAAGUGUAUAACACUUGGAUUGAUAGGAUCAUAGGAGCUAGUGCUUGUGACUGAAUGUGUUCUACCUUGUAGUGAGCCCCAGAGCUAUAUACAGAUCUAGAAUAAUCCACUGCUAGCAUACCAUCAAAAGAUGCAAGAAAAGCUUAUAUAUGAUGAUGUGAUCUUAAUUUGAGUUGCUUUAUAUGAUGUGAUGUAUACUAAUUAAGCUGGUAAAAUAUAUUGGGCAUUUACUGAAGCUGUCAGAGCACAGUGGUGAAGUGUUGGGAUGGCAUCCAAAGGUAGGGCUGACCGGAUGAGGAUCGGGAUCAAUUUCAUGGCUGACAAUUUGUGAAGAAAAGGAAACUCUUUUUGACGUCUUGUUCACCUCCUUGUCUAUCCCAGGAAAGCGUAUUGGCCAACUUGUUGCCUUCUGAUGGAGCAAACCAUUAUGGAUUAAAUGACAUACUCUUUUCUGAACCAAGCCAGUGAGGUUACCCAAAAAGCUUGGAACAAUAAUGCUUGAGAAUUUGGAUAUUAAUCAAGGGGUCUUUCACAUGUUUUUUCUUGUUAUGGCAAUUUUUUUUAUUAUUAUAAACUAAUUCAAGCACCUACUAUGCUUUUAACUUGAUUUCCUGUUUAUCUCUUUUGCACAUACAACAACCAGUUUAUAGUCUCCCAGAUAUACUUCACCUGAAAGAAUUAGUGUGUUCCGUGUUAAGAAUAAUAUAGGAGUAUCAUAUUGUCUUAGCAUUUCCUUUUUGAUAAUAUUGGAUUUGCAUUACAAUAUUUGGAUCUGUUUUGCAAAUAAUUUCUCUAUUAUCAGGAUUGUGGGGGGUUUUUUACAUAAAACCCAUGAAACAUGGAUCUCUUUGGUGCACUCUGAUGGUCAGUUUGCAUCCUCUGUGUUGUUGCUUUGUGAUCCACUUAUUAUUUGUAUAUUAAGUCUACUUGUCAAAAAACAAAAUGUGAAUGAAGUUGAAGAAGUUAGGGCUAGUAGGUGGAAGGAAUUUCUUUCAAAGAACUAAAACUACAAACAUCUCAAGCUUAAAUAUCUAACAGCAUAAGCUAAGAUUGGAAUGAUAUACUCCAAAGAUGUUAUUGCACUACUUUAUCCUGGAUCUCGUACAGCUCAAACUGAAGUAAAAUCCUAACCGGCUUAAAAUACCCAGAAAAACCCAUAGUAGACAAAGAAAAACUAAACAAAUGCCCUUCUCAACGAAGCAAGCCUGUGGAACUUGUGAUGGACUGGUUUGAGGAUUCUGUCCUGAGAUAAGCUGUGUUGCAAAGGACGUCUUCCAGGUCUCUCAAUGUAUGGUAAGGACUAUUGAGCUGCAUAUCAGUGAGCAUUUGACGAAGUUCUGAUGUCUCUUCUUUAAGUUGGGCAUUCUCUUGAAGGGCCUGAUCAUGACGCUCAGAAACAUCGUUUAGUUUGUCUAUGAGUUGGUGAUUCUCACUUCUGAGCCAAACUACCUGCGACCAAAGCUCAUCCAAGUGCUUUUGCUUACGCAUACGUGAUCGGCGCGCAGACUCUCUGUUAGAUAUCAUUCUCCUCUGCUUCCUCUCAUUGAUCAGGCUUAGUUGUUGCUCAUCUGCUUCAUCAGAAGUUGAAUUACUGCUGAAACAUGUUUGUUGUGGGUUGAAUUCUUGAACUUGAGGAUUUAUCUGAAGAUGAUAUAAUGGGUUAGAGAGUCUGCUAAACUCAAAUGUGGGUGUAUUGUUCUGGGUGAAGCCAAAAUGAGCAGGGUAUGAAGUUGGAUUAGGGGGAACUAGAUAAUGAAGUUCAGUGACCUCACUGGACUGCAUGGUAUUGACCUUCCUUAGUGAAUUUGCAGGGACUAGGUUUUUAAGGGAAGGUAGGGUAUAAGAUGUUAGAAUUGGAAGGCGGAUGGAAACUUGAGGUGAGGAGGUAUUUUAUAGGAUGGAAAAAGUCUAGUGGUCCCACUUUUGUCUAUUCAGAUUAACAGUAGGGGGUUCCUUAAAGAUGAGACCAUUGCAAUAUGAUGUCAGUGUGCAUGUACUUAUGUAGCAUCAGAUAUAUGUACACAUGUAAACAUUCAACACAUAAGUCUAUACAGAGAUGUCCUAAAUGCCCUCUAUGGUCAUGUAAUGGUUACAUGCCACAUACUGGCAAUGAAACAUUAUUAACAGCAUUUGGGCAUACAUGGAAAAAUUAAGUUGGGUUUUCCAUGCAAAUUUUUGUGUCUCAUUACUUUAUAUCUCACACAAUAGUAUGUUUGUGUUUAUCUUAGUGCGUUUGCGUGACCUUCAUUUCUCAACAGUUUACUAUUUAAUCUUGAGACCAAUUAAUGGCUGCCAUAGAGAGAUAUGAAAGACAGGGAAUUCAUAUUUGGAAUAUAGUUAUUUAAGUGAGAUUAGUUUGGAGAAGAAAAAAAAUGGAGAUGAGGUUGAAAAAGUCAAAUUUUAAAGUAAUGUUUGCGGAGUCGAACCAAUCUAAGAUUGUUUUACUGGUAGAUGUUCUUUCCAACAGCGCGUGGUGACAUAAAGGAAUAGGAGGAAGGAGGUUGGAGAAGGCAAGCCUUUUCUAUAAGUGGAAAAGAUUAUACAAGAAAUUGAUGACUCCACAACCACUUUGAUAAGACCCCAUCCAAAUAAGCAAUAGUAUACUUGAUCUCUCUUUAAAAUAUUUUGAUUAGUAGGAAUCACAUCCUUAUGACACAAUUACACACCAAUCAGUGCCACAUCAUGGUAGGGAAGAGUUUCUUGUCAUUGCUGCAUUAAAAUAUGCAUAACAUGAGCAUGGCUGCAUUUCCACACCCUUUUAGAAAAAUGACUGGCACCUUCCACUGUGAUUGGUAAGUGGUAAAGUUGGAGUAAAGUUUAGUAGUCGAUGUGAUGUGAUAUUUUAGCAAGAUACAUCGUCAAUUUAUUAGGAUGUGCUUGAAUUCAGCGAAAGAAACUUCUUUCUUCUGGUCUUAUGUGGUGAAAUCUGAAACUGCAUCCGUUCAUUAGAUCCUAAACUAUGCCACAUAUGAAAAGAACAUACUUGUUUAGUAAUUCUCAGAAGAAUGCACCCAUAGUAAUACAAUUAACAAAGAACAUACUUGUUUAGUAAUUCUUGAAGAAUCAUUUAUUAUUCCAUGCCUUAAUAAUUUGUCAUUUUGAGAUUCAUAUAGUGCUCAUUAGGUGACGUAUAUGUUUGUAAAGCUUUAUGGAUAGCUUGAUCAGAGAACAAGUUUUUUAGUUUAUAUAAUAAGAUGGAUUAGGUACUAACAAUAUUUUCAGAAAUUGAAAAAGUAAAUAAAAAGACUUGUUAAUAUGAUGGUGGGGACGAGGAAGGGGGAGAUAUGGAUGUACUUUGAAAUGCAGUCUCCCACUAAUGAAAAGAACUUUGUAAUGCCGCUAGAACCAGGACUCUAUGGAGGCAAAUUUUCUCUCCCUUCUUCAUGUUGGGUCAAGUUGAGUGGACUGGACGGUCAACAAUAUCAUUAGACAGAUAUUGACUCCUCUUUCUUUUCCUGUCUCCAAAUUUUUUAUCCUGUGUUCUCAUUAUUUGUUUUUUCUUUAAUUUUAAUUUUUCAUAUUAGUUUUACUUCUUGUAAUAAAGUUUUUUGCAAAUAAGGUAUGAGUAUAGAGGUGGCUAAUGUAGUUGAAUAUUUUGGUUGUUUUGUCCUUUUGUUAUUGUUGAAUAUUGGAUCCUAUUUUUGGUCUUUAGUCUUUGGUCAUUAAUCAUUGGUCAAUGGUCAAUGGUCUUCACUCCUUUAAUGGGUCAAGGGAACAUAUUAAUGGGUCAAGGGAACAUAUCACCAUUAUCUCAUUAAUGUUACUCCUUUGGUGAAAAUGAGUCCAACUCAUUUCCUUUUCUACCCUCUAGUUCUUGGCUAUAAAAGGAGGCCAAAUGGAAGAGGAAAGACACACCAAAAUUGAUAGAGUAUAUCUUAGAGAGAAGAAGAGCAAAGCUCUAGUUUGAGUGUCAAAGAGAGUUAGAGAGUGAGAAGCUCAGUUAGAGCAUUCAGAGAGUGAGGGUGUAGAGAGAAAUAAACAGUUAGUUUAUUUCUCAGUUGAGAGUUUGUAAUCUCCAUAUUAUUUUCAUAGUGAUUUUCUGAGAUCUCUUCCCGUGGUUUUUCCCAGUUGGGUUUCCACGUAAAAUUCUUGUGUUAUUAUUUUAUAUCUCAUACAGUAGUGUGUUUGUAUUUAUCUUAGUGUAUUUGUGUGAGCUUGAUUUCUCAACAAUUGGUAUCAAAGCUCUCGGUUCACACCAACGAUCAGUUUAAAGAGAAAUUAGGCAGGUCACAAAUACGAAGAUGGCAAGCACAAGUGCGAGGUAUGAAGUUGAACCAUUUGACGGUAAGUCAAAUUUCAGUAUUUGGCAGUGUACAGUCAAAGAUGUAUUGGCUCAACAAGGAUUGACAAAGGCACUAGAAGGGAAGAAACCAGCGACUAUGACGGAUGAAAAAUGGGUGGAACUUGAAGCUAAGGCCGUGGCAACAAUCAGAUUGAGUUUGGCGCCACAGAUCAAAUAUCAGGUUUUGACAGAAACCUCUUCGAAGGACUUGUGGGAGAAACUUGAGAAAGUUUACAAGUCAAAGUCUCUGUCAAAUCGGUUAUAUUUGAAGAAGGAAUUGUACCGGCUUCGGAUGGAAGAAGGGUCAGAUUUGGCCAAUCAUAUUAAUGAGUUUAAUAGAUUGGUGACCCAACUAACCAGUAUUGAUGUGAAGUUGGACGAAGAAGAUAAAGCCUUAUUGCUUCUUGUCUCUCUACCAGAUUCAUACUCAACUCUCCAGACUACACUCCUUGUAGGGAAGGAAAAGCUUGCAGUUGACGAUGUGAUGUCAGCAGUACUGGACCAGGAUAAGUUCAAGGGCACUACUUCCAGAGAUCAAGGAGACAGUCUUCUUACUUUUUCAAAUGGGCGUGGCAGGGGUCCUAAUCAAAAGAAGUAUUCCGGCAAGGAACGAGAAAGGUCUCAGUCGAGACCAGGCAAGAAGGAUAAAUCUCAGGUUGAAUGUUAUCAUUGCCACGAGAAGGGCCACUACAAAAAUCAGUGUCCAUUGUUGAAGAAGGAUAACAAGAAGAAAGGAAAGCAGAUUGAAAAAUCUGCUAAUGUUGCUGAGCAAGCAGAUGUGUGCAGCGACGGAGAGCUGUACACAGUGACAGAAAAUGAAGCUUCACAAGGUGAUCUCUUAUCUGUUAGAGACAGUGGCAGCCUUACAGAUUGGUACAUGGAUUCCGGUUGUUCUUUUCAUAUGUCCCCUCAUAGGGAUUGGUUUGAUACUUUUACAUCCUGCAAUGGUGGUACAGUUUUAUUGGGUAACAAUGCAGUCUGCAAAGUUACUGGGAUAGGCACCAUAAAAAUUAAAAUGUUUGACGGAGUUGUUAGAACAUUGGGUGAUGUAAGGUAUAUUCCAGAAUUGAAGAAGAGCUUGCUAUCGGUUGGAGUACUUGACUCUAUAGGUUGCAGUAUCUCAGUCAGAGAUGGUGUCAUGAAAAUUACCAAGGGCUCGAUGGUAAUUAUGAAGGGCCAGAAGAAGGGCACCCUCUACAAGUUGAUAGGGGACACAGUUGCUGGUGGAGCAGCAAAUUCUGUGCAGGAUAAUUCCAACAGUGAUAGCACAGAAUUAUGGCACAUGCGACUUGGUCAUUUGAGUGAAGGUGGAAUGAAAGAACUUCACAAAAGGCAGUUGCUGAAAGGUGUCAAAACGUGCAGUUUGGAAUUUUGCAAGUUUUGCGUGUACGGCAAACAACGGAGGGUCAGCUUCAAGGCAGGAGCACAUACCAGUAAGAAUGUACUUGAUUAUGUACAUUCAGAUGUGUGGGGCCCGAUCAAGCAUACGUCAAUGGGUGGAGCCCAUUAUUUUGUUAGCUUUAUAGAUGACUACUCCAGAAAGGUGUGGGUGUAUUUUAUGAAGCAGAAAUCCGAGGUUUUCAGAAUCUUCAAGCAGUGGAAAGCUAAAGUAGAGAACCAGACCGGAAAGAAGCUGAAGUAUUUCAGAUCAGAUAAUGGCACAGAAUACAAGGACAGGUCAUUCCUACAGUUCUGUCAGGAUGAAGGUAUCACCAGGCACUUCUCAGUCAAAAGAACUCCAGAGCAAAAUGGGGUUGCCGAGAGGAUGAACAGAACUCUAUUGGAACGUGCCAGAUGUAUGAGAUUGAAUGCAGGAUUGCCCAAGAGUUUCUGGGCUGAGGCAAUCAAUACAGCGUGUUAUCUGAUAAAUCGAUCUCCUUCAGCAGGAAUUGAUUACAAAAUCCCCGAAGAGGUAUGGAGUGGGAAACCAGUUGAUUUUUCUGUGAUGAAAAUCUUUGGUUGUCCAGCUUAUGCUCAUCUGCCAGUCGAAGAGCGACAGUCCAAGCUUGAUCCAAGGUCAAAAGAGUGUAUUUUCCUUGGAUAUGAAGAUGGUGUCAAGGGAUACAGGUUAUGGGAUCCAGUAUCCAAGAAGAAGGUUGUCAGCAGAGAUGUGGUGUUCAAUGAGAAACACAUGCUGAACAAGUCCGAGAAUGAAGAAUCUGCAGCAAGUGAGUUGCAAAAACACCCAGUUGAGGUGGAGCUUCCUGAAGAGAUUGAAGAUGAUCAACCUUCAGAUCCCCAAGAGAGGUCCUAUAAUCUUGUUAGAGAUCGGGAAAGGCGAGUCAGUAAACCAGUGCAGAGAUAUGGGUUUGAAGACAUGGUUGCCUUUGCCUUGAUUGCUGGUAGUGGAGAUCCAACUAGCUAUCAGGAUGCUAUUCAGUCCGAUGAUAAUGAUAAAUGGGCGAUAGCUAUGGCAGAAGAGAUGGAAUCUUUACAAAAGAACCAGACAUGGGAGUUAGUUCAACUUCCAAAAGGAUCGAAGGCUAUAGGAUGCAGGUGGGUGUUCAGGAAAAAGGAAGCUCAGUCUGAUAAAGAAGGUGAAAGAUUCAAGGCCAGAUUAGUGGCAAAGGGAUUCUCUCAGAGAGAGGGAAUCGACUACAAUGAGAUCUUCUCACCAGUUGUGAAACACACAUCGAUUCGGUUGAUCUUAUCUAUUGUAGCAUCACAGGAUAUGGAGUUAGAACAGCUUGAUGUGAAAACAGCUUUUCUCCACGGUGAUUUAGAAGAAAAGAUCUACAUGAAGCAGCCUGAGGGGUUUAUUGAACCAGGGAAAGAGGGUUUAGUUUGCAGUUUAAAGAAGUCCCUCUAUGGUUUGAAGCAGUCCCCAAGACAGUGGUAUAUGAAGUUUGAUAACUUCAUGAUGGCUCAUGGUUACUCUCGUUCGGAGUAUGAUCCAUGUGUGUAUUUCAGAUCCCUUGAUGAUGGCUCUCUAGUAUUGUUAACGUUAUAUGUCGAUGACAUGUUGAUAGCAGCAAAGAGGAAGUCAGAUAUUCUUCAGCUGAAGAAUUUGUUGAGCAGUGAAUUUGACAUGAAGGAUCUUGGGUCAGCUAAGAAGAUCCUAGGUAUGGAAAUUCACAGGGAUCGUCAAGCAGGAAAGUUGUGGCUAACUCAGAAAGGAUAUGUGCAGAAGGUCUUAGAGAGGUUUAACAUGAACAAUGCUAAACCAGUUAGCACUCCGUUGGCAGCACAUUUCAGGUUAUCUUCACAGUUGAGCCCACAAACAGAGGACGAGGUGGAGUAUAUGUCCAAAGUACCGUAUGCAAAUGCGGUGGGUUGUCUAAUGUACGCCAUGGUAUGUACAAGGCCAGAUAUCUCACAAGCAGUCAGCGUGGUUAGCAGGUAUAUGGCAAAUCCAGGAAAAGAGCAUUGGAAUGCAGUAAAAUGGAUUUUUCGUUAUCUAGCAGGUACAACCAAUUACGGUCUUAUGUUUGAUCGUGAUACCGCAAGAAGUGAGGUUACAGGGUUCGUUGAUUCGGAUUAUGCUGGAGACCUAGAUGCAAGGAGAUCUACGACAGGGUUUGUAUACACCUUUUGUGGAGGAUGUAUAUGUUGGAGGUCAGUGUUGCAGUCUACGGUAGCAUUAUCAACAACAGAGGCUGAGUAUAUGGCAUUGACAGAGGCAAGCAAGGAGGCUUUGUGGCUUAAGGGACUAGUUGAAGAACUAGGUUUCAAGCAAGGCAGUAUCCAGAUUCAGUGUGAUAGUCAAAGUGCUAUUCAUUUAGCAAAGAACCAAGUGUUCCAUGCCAGAACCAAACAUAUAGAUGUUCGGUAUCACAAGAUUCGUGAGUGGUUGAACAAUGGUGACAUUGCAGUUCACAAAGUUCACACAAAGGAGAAUGCCGCAGAUAUGCUCACAAAGUCAGUUACAGCAGAAAAGUUCAAGCACUGUUUGGACUUAAUUCACUUCGUCUAAUGUUGAGUUCGUAGUGGAGUAUCCAGGGAGAGGGAUACAUUCACAGACACAAAGAAGAUCACAGUAUUUGGAAAAUAUGAGCCAAGGUAGAGAUCGUUGAAUAUUGGAUCCUAUUUUUGGUCUUUGGUCUUUGGUCAUUAAUCAUUGGUCAAUGGUCAAUGGUCCUCACUCCUUUAAUGGGUCAAGGGAACAUAUUAAUGGGUCAAGGGAACAUAUCACCAUUAUCUCCUUAAUGUUACUCCUUUGGUGAAAAUGAGUCCAACUCAUUUCCUUUUCUACCCUCUAGUUCUUGGCUAUAAAAGGAGGCCAAAUGGAAGAGGAAAGACACACCAAAAUUGAUAGAGUAUAUCUUAGAGAGAAGAAGAGCAAAGCUCUAGUUUGAGUGUCAAAGAGAGUUAGAGAGUGAGAAGCUCAGUUAGAGCAUUCAGAGAGUGAGGGUGUAGAGAGAAAUAAACAGUUAGUUUAUUUCUCAGUUGAGAGUUUGUAAUCUCCAUAUUAUUUUCAUAGUGAUUUUCUGAGAUCUCUUCCCGUGGUUUUUUCCAGUUGGGUUUCCACGUAAAAUUCUUGUGUUAUUAUUUUUAUAUCUCAUACAGUAGUGUGUUUGUAUAAAUCUUAGUAUUGUGUGAACUUGAUUUCUCAACAAUUAUUAAAUUAACAUGACUAUUAGAUCAUUAUACAUAAGUUACGUUAUUCUUUCCUUUUUUUGGUUGAAAUCCCCUUGGCUAACUCAGUUCUUUAUUAUUCAGCUAAUAUGUCAAACAUCUGAACUCAUCAAACUUAAUGUUAAGCUUUCCACAUGCCACUGCGGCAUGGAUCAAUCUCAACUCAGAGCAACUUGUGGUUGAGUGAA